rnacentral:tRNA from 1 species
UGGGAUAUGGUGUAACGGCAACACACAAGACUUUGACUCUUGCUUUGUAGGUUCGAGUCCUGCUAUCCCAGCCA